GUAGAUGAUGAAAUAUGCAUUGGGCUCUGAACAAUUCUGCAUUCAAUUGUUAAAUGAUGGACAAUGCAGCCUAGAAAGCUAUUUCUGAUCC